UAUAAAACUCUUGAAUGGGAGGCUUUGGCACUUGGAGCACAGCUCGGGAUGUUAGGGCGGGUUUUUAUGGAGACGAUUCACGGAACUGCUGAGGCUGGUGGUGGAGAACCCAGACUGUUAUGACUCAUUUGUCUUUUUAUUGCGCGGGACCAAGAGCUGUUGUUUCCUUUUAAGUCCCUCUGUGGAGCUGAGCUCCAGCUAAGGGCAAGAUAACUCUUUCAGGAAGACAGUGCGGCUUUAGUGCCUGUGAACAGGAAUAGUGUGCUGUGGGGCCCCGGGUCAAGUGUACUGGACAAGCAAGGGAAGAUUUUUUUUUUUUUAACCAUGAGGCAGAAUUUCUUUUGGAAACCAGAACAUCCUUUAAGUCUUCAGCUUUAGACAAGCUUUCCUUUUCUUCUGUUGACCGCUUUCUUUCCCCGAAAGCCUAAGCCAAAUGGGGUUGUGCAGCAAAGAGAAAGGAGGUAGAUGCCAUCAUGGAGAGGCUUGAUGAUGAGGUACCAGUGGUGACUUCUGGUCAACACAUAUCGAAACCCCGUGACCUUCGACCCAGCAGCAUCCAUGUCCUGGAUCCUGUCAACAACUGUGAGGCGGUGUUGAGAUGGUUUAGCAGGUAAAGGCACUUGCCACCAACCCAGAAGACCUGAGUUUAAUCCCUAGGACCCACAAGUGUAAGGAGAGAACCUACAUUUCAUGUUGUCCUCUGAUCUCCACAUACAUGGACUGUGGUCAUUUGUACAAACUAAAUAAACUUAAAAAAAUGUAAUAAAAUUUUGACAGGCAGUGGUGGCAUACUGCUUUAAUCCCUGCACUUGGAAAGCAGAGGCAGGCAGAUCUCUGA